ensembl:lncRNA
UGGAAGUACAAAUGUCACAGGCUUCUUCUUAGUCGACAACUUCUACCACUUCUGGCCUUCAGGGUUAUUUAGCAGCUUUUUUGUGCAUCUAAAAGUCUGCUAACUUGAGUUGGACUCAUUCUGCAUCAGUUACAAGUUUGUGUGCACAGAGGCUGGCAGCAGCUGGUGGUAAUCUGCAAUCAGCGGGAGCAGUGCAGGAGCAGGUGGGAGCAGCCCAAUCAGCCACUCCAGCUCCUCUACAUAACCUGACGCCACUCGUCUCUGGACCGUGAACGUUCUCCAGUCAGUGCAGCGCGCUGUUCAGCUUUGGCUCCUUGCUUUGUGCUUUUUGUGAUCCUGUUUUUGCGCCGUUCUAGACCAGCUCCUACCUCCCCGGAAUCCUGGUUUCCGCCAUCUAGAAUUCUUCUAGACAAUCCAGACUGGGCCAUUCUGGAUCAGCUUGGUCUCCCUCUGUUCUCACUCCUGUCCAAACUGGUUCACUUCCUCCUGCCUCUCCAUUGCCAGAACCCAGCUUCCGCCACACCGUCUCCGACGCCAGCUGCCGGCUACGCCCACGCCAGCCACAAACAGCGGCAGCCGCCAUUCCACCGUGGAACGCCAGCCACUCCAUCAGCUAAGUUCCUUGUUCAUUGUUUUUCGUGUUUUACUAGAAAUUAUCUUUAACAAAACUGCGAAAAUCUGUGAAAUAACAGUUUUAAAAAAACAUUUUAUCAGAGUUUUUCUUCCACAAACAGUAAAUAUCUGUUAAAAAAAAAACAACAACAACAUUGUUGGGUUAUUAAAACA